rnacentral:sRNA from 1 species
UGGACGAAGUUCACGUUUGUGCCUUGC